rnacentral:rRNA from 1 species
CUAGUGACCGAUAGUGAACCAGUACCGUGAGGGAAAGGUGAAAAGCACCCCGGGAGGGGAGUGAAAUAGAACCUGAAACCGUGUGCCUACAACAAGUUCGAGCCCGUUAAUGGGUGAGAGCGUGCCUUUUGUAGAAUGAACCGGCGAGUUACGAUAUGAUGCGAGGUUAAGUUGAAGAGACGGAGCCGUAGGGAAACCGAGUCUUAAUAGGGCGCAUUAGUAUCAUGUCGUAGACCCGAAACCAUGUGACCUACCCAUGAGCAGGUUGAAGGUGAGGUAAAACUCACUGGAGGACCGAACCAGGGCACGUUGAAAAGUGCUUGGAUGACUUGUGGGUAGCGGAGAAAUUCCAAACGAACUUGGAGAUAGCUGGUUCUCUCCGAAAUAGCUUUAGGGCUAGCGUCGAUGUUAAGUCUCUUGGAGGUAGAGCACUGUUUGGGUGAGGGGUCCAUCCCGGAUUACCAAUCUCAGAUAAACUCCGAAUGCCAAUGAGAUAUAAUCGGCAGUCAGACUGCGAGUGCUAAGAUCCGUAGUCGAAAGGGAAACAGCCCAGACCACCAGCUAAGGUCCCAAAAUAUAUGUUAAGUGGAAAAGGAUGUGGGGUUGCACAGACAACUAGGAUGUUAGCUUAGAAGCAGCUAUUCAUUCAAAGAGUGCGUAAUAGCUCACUAGUCGAGUGACCCUGCGCCGAAAAUGUACCGGGGCUAAAACAUAUUACCGAAGCUGUGGAUACCUUUAUAGGUAUGGUAGGAGAGCGUUCUAUGUGCGAAGAAGGUGUACCGUGAGGAGUGCUGGAGCGCAUAGAAGUGAGAAUGCCGGUAUGAGUAGCGAAAGACAGGUGAGAAUCCUGUCCACCGUAAGACUAAGGUUUCCAGGGGAAGGCUCGUCCGCCCUGGGUUAGUCGGGACCUAAGGAGAGACCGAAAGGUGUAUCCGAUGGACAACAGGUUGAUAUUCCUGUACUAGAGUAUAUAGUGAUGGAGGGACGCAGUAGGCUAACUAAACCAGACGAUUGGAAGUGUCUGGCCAAGCAGUGAGGUGUGAUAUGAGUUAAAUGCUUAUAUCUCUAACAUUGAGCUGUGAUGGGGAGCGAAGUUUAGUAGCGAAGUUAGUGAUGUCACACUGCCGAGAAAAGCUUCUAGCGUUAAUUAUACUCUACCCGUACCGCAAACCGACACAGGUAGUCGAGGCGAGUAGCCUCAGGUGAGCGAGAGAACUCUCGUUAAGGAACUCGGCAAAAUGACCCCGUAACUUCGGGAGAAGGGGUGCUGGCUUUGGUCAGCCGCAGUGAAUAGGCCCAAGCAACUGUUUAUCAAAAACACAGCUCUCUGCUAAAUCGUAAGAUGAUGUAUAGGGGGUGACGCCUGCCCGGUGCUGGAAGGUUAAGAGGAGUGCUUAGCGUAAGCGAAGGUAUGAAUUGAAGCCCCAGUAAACGGCGGCCGUAACUAUAACGGUCCUAAGGUAGCGAAAUUCCUUGUCGGGUAAGUUCCGACCCGCACGAAAGGCGUAAUGAUUUGGGCACUGUCUCAACGAGAGACUCGGUGAAAUUUUAGUACCUGUGAAGAUGCAGGUUACCCGCGACAGGACGGAAAGACCCCAUGGAGCUUUACUGCAGUUUGAUAUUGAGUAUCUGUACCACAUGUACAGGAUAGGUAGGAGCCUACGACCUCGGGACGCCAGUUUCGAGUGAGGCGUUGUUGGGAUACUACCCUUGUGUUAUGGCUACUCUAACCCAGAUAGGUUAUCCCUAUCGGAGACAGUGUCUGACGGGCAGUUUGACUGGGGCGGUCGCCUCCUAAAAGGUAACGGAGGCGCCCAAAGGUUCCCUCAGAAUGGUUGGAAAUCAUUCGCAGAGUGUAAAGGUAUAAGGGAGCUUGACUGCGAGAGCUACAACUCGAGCAGGGACGAAAGUCGGGCUUAGUGAUCCGGUGGUUCCGUAUGGAAGGGCCAUCGCUCAACGGAUAAAAGCUACCCUGGGGAUAACAGGCUUAUCUCCCCCAAGAGUCCACAUCGACGGGGAGGUUUGGCACCUCGAUGUCGGCUCA